rnacentral:rRNA from 1 species
CAGCAACGGAUCUCUUGGUUCUGGCAUCGAUGAAGAACGCAGCGAAAUGCGAUAAGUAAUGUGAAUUGCAGAAUUCAGUGAAUCAUCGAAUCUUUGAACGCACAUUGCGCCCGCCAGUACUCUGGCGGGCAUGCCUGUCCGAGCGUCAUUU